UUCUUUUUCGCUGCACCCCACGUGCCAGGUCGUCCCCUAGCUCCAGCACUGGCCACCAACUGUACGAGUUCGUCUCCAAAACUGACCAGGAAAAUCUCCGGUUCUUGUUCAAUUUUGAUCCGUUUCGCACGAAAUAAAAUCCCUAUAAAUACCCACAUACCUCCUCUGUUUGUGGCCCUCAGAAACCCUAAUUUUGGUGCCGCCAGGCCGUCCAAUUUCACCGCCGGAGCCCCGCCUACCGCCGCAGUAUACCGUGGAUUCCGAUGAAAAUUUCAAAACGACAAUUCGUCAAUGACACUGAUAUCACCGUCGUCGUAUGAACCUGGCCGCCAUCGCGCCAUGUGACUCCGGCCGCCUCUGCUCACCGUUGAAGGAAGAGCACCAGCGCGAUGAACACGCUCUCGAGUUCCCCACAUCGAGCAGCACCUGCCACAUGCCAUUAUAACUGAACUGGUUCAACCAUAGUCCGAUCGUUUGGUGCUACCUCAUCCAUAUGGCGUGGAGACAAUCUACACAUGUGUUGAAACCUUGACAUCCUUUAGAAUAUUUGAUCCACAUCUUGAAUACCAUUCAUGUCUAUCCAAUCUCAUGUCAUUUGAUCAUGUUUAUUAAGUUUGGGCUAUUCAAAUUACAAAUGAGUUAUUUGAAUAAUUAAAUAUACCAUUGAUUCAUACCCAAGCCUUUGUGUAACUUGAGCUAUCGUGAUAAGUGUUGUCACACUUUAACUUAAUAGCAUUUAAGUUUUCACCGUGUGGAACCUAUGUGAUUAUUAUCACAUGGACCAUUCCAAUUUUGUUUAUUCCUUUAUAACCAAUAUGUCUUUUCCUGUUGGUCAUUGAUGUUACUUCUCUUUUUAA